CUCUUAUCAAAGUUACUAACGACCUAAUUGCAGCUUAAUCCAAAGGCCACUACUCCAUACUUAUUCUUAUUGACCUCUCUGCUGCCUUUGACACCACUGAUCAUGUUCUCCAUCUUCAAACUCUUUAAUAACUCGGUCUCUGUGACUCUGUCCUCUCAUGGUUUUCCUCUUAUCUCUCCCAAUGCUCAUUCAGUGUCUCUUUUUCUAAUGAUACCUCCAC